rnacentral:tRNA from 1 species
GAGGUCGGAUGGUGCGGGGGACGAUCACGAGGCUGGUGACGACGAUCACGGCGGUGGCCGUGGCGUUGACGCUGGCGUUCGGAGCGGCACCGGCCGCG